GAGAGUUCUUCUGAAUAUCUGUCAGGAGGCAUUUGAAGGUGCUGACAAAUUGCGGGCAGAGCUCAGGCAGAUGACUGCCCCUGAGCAAGAGUUGGAAAGAAGAGAUAAAGAAAGGUUGGUCAAACUCCGCACUCUCGGGAACAUUCGCCUGAUAGGAGAGCUUUUGAAGCAAAAGAUGGUUCCAGAGAAGAUUGUCCACCACAUUGUUCAGGUCCUUGAUUGAUCUCUCUCUCCUUUUCUCUCUCUCAUCCUAGCAUCUUGAUUUGUCUUUAUUAUUUUUAAGAUGGUCUUACAACAUGGUUUUGCAAGACAGGAACUCAUAGGACCUGAUACGAAGAGUUGUCCAGCUGAGGAGAAUGUUGAAGCCAUAUGCCAGUUCUUUAUCACCAUUGGGAAACAGCUUGAUGAGAACCAAAAAUCUAGGCGUAUCAACGAUAUGUAUUUUGGUCGGUUGAAGGAAGUGUCAGCAAACCCGCAGCUAGCUCUACGACUGAGGUUUAUGAUUCGUGAUGUUCUUGAUUUGCGUUCAAAUAAUUGGGUUCCCAGACGGGAAGAGGUGAUCCCUCUUAACCUAUUUGAUGUCUUUCUAUGAGGUUUUCGUUGCAAACUUUAUGAUGUUGUUUUGUAAUUUUCCAGGUGAGGGCCAAAACUAUCACUGAGAUUCACUCAGAAGCAGAGAAGAAUCUUAGGUUGCGCCCAGGAGUUACUGCUAGCAUUAGAAAUAACAGAAACAUUGCUUCUGGGGCUCAAGGGAGUAUUAGUCCUGGUGGCUUGCCUAUUAGUCGCCCUGGUGCAGGUGGCAUGAUGCCUGGAAUGCCAGGGACGAGGAAGAUGCCUGGUAUGCCUGGACUUGAUAAUGACAGCUGGGAAGUUUCUAGGUCCCGAUCAAUGCCAAGAGGCGAUAGUUCAACAGUUCAGCCUGCUGGGCGUGUCCAACCACCAUUGAUACAAUCACCAUCCCCGAACCAGCGAUUUCUGCCUCAGGGUAGUGGUGGUUUCUCAAGUGAUAGACCUAGUGCCCUCCUACAGGGUAGUGGUGCACCUCUUGUUCGUCCUGCUAAAUAUGGAGAAUAUGCUGUGGGCCCUGGAUUACAAGUCCCUGCCAAUAGUAGACCCGCGCCAACAUCAUCCGCUGCACCAGUAACUGGCAAACCUACAGCUCCAGCUGCAAUAAAGAAUCCAAACGAACUUAGGAGAAAAACAAUUUCGCUUCUGGAUGAAUAUUUUAGCGUCAGAAUUUUGGAUGAAGCAUUACAAUGCAUUGAGGAACUGAAGGCCCCGGCUUAUCAUCCUGAAAUUGUCAAGGAGUCCAUUUCCCUUGGGUUGGAGAAAAGUCCACCUUGUGUAGAGCUGGUUGCUAAGCUUCUAGAGUACUUGUAUACUAAGAAAGUUGUUACUGCUAAUGACUUGGUCACUGGAUGCCUCCUCUAUGCCUCACUGUUGGAUGAUCUUGCAAUUGAUAUACCAAAAGCACCGGCCAAUUUUGGAGAGAUAGUCGGGAAAUUAGUCUUGGUUGGUGGGCUCGACUUCAAGUUGGUGAGGGAGAUUCUGAAAAAGGUGGGUGAUGAAUUUUUCCGGAAAGCCGUAUUCACAUCCAUAAUGAGGAUUGUUAGCUCUAAUCCUCCUGGAAAAGGGGUGAUAGAUUCACAAGCAUCUGAUAUUGAGGCCUGUGAAAGCCUAAUUUAGGGCUUACUCAUUGCAGGAGUCAUCUGUAACCUCACAGGAAAUGUGCCCUCUUUCAAUUACCAUUUCUUCUCAUUAUUCCCAUCCAAGCCGAUGAGUGAUUGUGGUGAAAGUAAUGAGGAUGCGAAGCUGUGAAGAACAGGUGAUAUUAUGUGGACUCUGUAUAAUUUUCUUGAGGUCAUAGUACUGUCAUUGAAGAUAUAACAACAUAAAGAUUUUGGUUUGCGAGUGGCUGAUCACUGGCCAUAGUUUGCUGGAGAGAUGAACCAUGUUGUUCUGUAUUGAUUAGAUUUUAUUUACUUAAUUUGUCGUUUUAUUAAUUGAAGUUUUGACAGAAGUAUAAACUCAUAAUGCUGAGUGUGCACAAUUUUAAAGGAGAAUCCUAUGUUGUGUUAAUUUUUGUUCCAAUCUAUAGUCAUUUUCUUGGGAUUAUGCAUGUUUUGCUGUUUAACCUUCACGAGUUUGGGCGUAGGCGCGUAGCUGCAGUUUGUGAAGAUGGUUUGCAGCUACCGUCGCCAACCUUGGACCUUAAUUGCAAUUUCGUCCCCAAUUUAUUUUAUUUUAUUUGAUUAUUAUUAUUUUUUUGUGUGUCACAAAUCAAAACUUAAACUUUGAAUUAAUUAGCAGGGUUUCUUUGGUUUCUGUCCCCUGUUCUGUCAAGUCAGGCAUGCUUGCGGGCAAAUUUAGUCAUUUUUUGAUCUUCAUUUCUUGAAAUUUAUUUUUAAUCACACAGUAUUUAUAAAUUUUAUCAAUUUUUAAUUACAUAUUUUAUUUAUUUUUAUUAAAAUUUAUUAAAUUUACAAUUUUUAUCAUAACCCAAGAGGGGCUUAAUAAUAAGAGCAAAAGAUCAAAUCGCUUUUUCACCUCCAAGAGCUAAUCUUCAAUGAAAAGUAACGUUGCUUUUGGAAAGAGUCGGACGAUGUAACAUUGAUAUUUAUGGGGAACAGAAGUUUUGGGAGUUGGAAGUGAUCUAUCGUCUUCUUGCUUGACUUGUCCUUCAAACAGUAAAGAUCGAUCGUCUGCUUGCUUGACUUGUCCUCGAAACAUAAGUACAUAUUCCAACUUUUCAAAAUCCAAGCCUGGAUAUUUAAGAAUCAGAGAUACCAAUCGAAAAGUUGCGUAGAGAAGUAAAAAAAGAACAAAGAAAAACCCAUAAAAUUAUAAGGAAGAUGGGAAGCAGAGGGUUGGAUUUGAAGGGGAUACCAUCAGUGGACAUCAUGACUGAACUUCUUCACCGCAUGAAGCGCGCUUCAAAGUCCGACAAUCGCCUUAUGCUCAUUGGUACCGUACGAUACUAAUCGCCACUGUAUACUUGUAUAGUGUAAUAUGUAUGAGUUGCCUUUUCAUUCCUUCUCUUUUUUCUUUUCUCUCUCUCUCUUCCACACCAUCAAUAUGUACACAAUCAUAUAGAAAUAGCAUUACUAAUGCGUAUAUACUUCUCCUGUCAGACUUAUGUUUUGAUUAAAUUUUUAUGGGUUUUUCUCCCGCCAUUUUUGUGUAAAGUUGCGAACUUUCACCAAGAGUAUUGAUAUAUCAAGAAUUUGAAUUAUUAGACAUUGUCAAUUAAAGUACAUUAGUUGGGUAUGGUUUUGAAGUGUAGAAAUGUCACAAAUUUGAACUUGCAAAUUAUGGUCCCUUUGUCAUUGCUAAUUUUAUUCAUUUACUACGAAUUUUUAAACCCUUGUUCUAAUGAUUCGUUAACAGGUUCUACGAUCACCAAUGGCUGAAAGUACGCUGAUUAUUAUUUUGUAAUAUUAGAAAGUCUCAUUGCACUUUGUUUUAGUAUGUAUAUGUUUACUUAUUCAUCGUGCUGGAGAACAUGGCAAUAAAACUAGAUUUGGUGGUGUUUAAGAAAAUGGGACUAAUUGCGUCGGUAGUUGUAUGAAUAAAAAAUUUGAUUUGUGACAGGGCCAUCGGGUUCGGGAAGAGGUACUCAAUCCCCCAUCAACGAUGAGUACUGUCUGUGCCAUUUGGCCACUGAUGAUAUGUUGAGAGCUGCUUUUGCAGCUAAUACUCUGGUAGCCAAAAAGGAUGAAGAAGCUAUAGUUAAGGUAGAAAUCUACUCCCUUGAUAUUAACACUGGAUGAAACUGUUAAGAUAUGUCCCCUUCAGAUUUUGCUGUUUUGAUUGAUUAUUUUGUAAAUGAUAAUUUUUCUUCUUUAGGGGAAACUUGUUCUUGAUGAGGAAGUUGCUGGUUUAAUUGAUGAAGACUUGAAGAAACCUUCUUGUCAGAAGGGAUUCAUUCUUGAUGGUUUCCUGAAGACAGUGAUUCAGGCGGAAAAGGUUAUACACCAGUUGACGUGCUGUGUGAAUAUGUACUUGAUAAAUAAUUUCGCCAGGUUUAUAUUUCCUCAUCAUUUUAAUUCUUGCAGCUUGACGAUAUGCUGCAGAGUCAGGGAACUGACAUCGAUAAUGUGAUCAGCUUUGCAACUGAUGAUGACAUGUCGAAGAAGAUGAUUACUGGUGUUGAUUAUGUAAGUUAACCUGGUGCUAUUAUGCCAGAUUCUAUUACAAAUGUUAACAAUAGUGAGCUGCUUCUUCUGUCCAUGAAACAGGGAGGGCCUACUCCCUCUUUAAUCAAGGAAGAGGUGCUCCAUUCUGCUUGGAGGGGGACUCUUCCUGAGAAGGAGCGUGUCCUAAGAACAGUGAAACGGUAAUUUUCCCAGUGUCGGUCUUCAUUUAAUGUGUGUUGUUCGGUAACUCAAACAUAUUUAAAUAUGCAAUAUGUUAUUCUCGAAACCACAGACAUGGACACACAGGGAUACUGAUUUAUAAUUUUUAAAAUUAUACAUUUAUACAAUUUCUUUUCUUAUAAAUAUUUUUCUGAAAAGAUAAAUACUUUUUUAGUUUAGGGUUUUGCCCAUUUUAGAUCUAUUGAAUCAGAGGAGUGAUUUAAGAUAUCUUUGGGUUAAAUUAUAAAUUACUACAGAAAGAGCAAGAAAAUGCAUACAGUAGAAAUAAAACAAAUACAUCAUGUUUUUCUCACAUUAUUGUCAUUUUUUCUCACUAACUUUUGAUAAUUAAAUGUUUUAACUAAUUUUAUGUUCCAAAAUUUACAGCAUGUGGCUUUUUAUGCCUUGACGUGUAGAGACAGUUGUCCUUGUGACAUGCCACAUAUGUGUUGGAAAUGUUUCUGAGGCGAGUUCAAGAAGUGUCCCUCGAGUAUUGGAAAUUUAAAGUAUAUAAAAAUUACGGCAGUGUCGACGUUGGAUUCUUGAAUUAACAACCUUAGCAGGAGAUUCUCUGCUUUGUAGCUGCUAUUAUUGCAAUUGAGUUCCACCACCAUCCCUUUUUUGUAUUACUUGUAUCCAAAUUCUUUUUGAUGUCUGUAAGUUCAUGAUCCGCCUCAAUCACUAUAUGUUGGUGACAAUCUAGCUUCUGCACACAAUGAAGAUAAUAAUUUCCUAUCCGGAUGUCCUAGCUAGGAUCCGAUGGUGGAGAUGCUGUUGAUGGUUGUUGGUUUUAUAUCUAUUUCUAGUUUUAGGAUUAUUUACUGACAUACUUCCUAUGCUAACGAAUGAUUCUGUCCAAUACAUUCUUGUUGCAGCAUACUGAACAAGAAGACUCCUGAGAAAUUUGAUCUUCUCAAGAGUCGACUUGUCGAAUCUGGGAUCACAAACUCGUGUCUUUAUGCUGGGAUUUUGAUUCUUCUUUAUGUCUUCAUAUACUCGUAGCCUAAUUAUGCUUGUACUUCUGCUGUUUUAUUUGUCGUGCAGGGAGUUGUCUCUUUGAUAUCUGACAAGGCUGUGCUGGAGCCAACAUUUUGUCCGAUGUAUGCACAACUAUGUUCUGAUCUGAAUGAGAUGCUUCCUCCCUUCCCAUCUGAUUAGCCUGGUGGAAAAGAAAUCACAUUUAAGAGAGUUCUUCUGAAUAUCUGUCAGGAGGCAUUUGAAGAUGCUGACAAAUUGCGGGCAGAGCUCAGGCAGAUGACUGCCCCUGAGCAAGAGUUGGAAAGAAGAGAUAAAGAAAGGUUGUUCAAACUCCGUACUCUCGGGAACAUUCACCUGAUAGGAGAGCUUUUGAAGCAAAAGAUGGUUCCGGAGAAGAUUGUCCACCACAUUGUUCAGGUCCUUGAUUGAUCUUUCUCUCCUUUUCUCUCUCUCAUCCUAGCAUCUUGAUUUGUCUUUAUUAUUUUUAAGAUGGUCUUACAGCAUGGUUUUACAAGAC
rnacentral:lncRNA from 1 species